CCUACGGGGAGGCAGCAGUGGGGAAUAUUGCGCAAUGGGCGAAAGCCUGACGCAGCGACGCCGCGUGAGGGAUGAAGGUCUUCGGAUCGUAAACCUCUGUCAGCAGGGAAGAACGGUCACUGUGCUAAUCAGCAGUGAAUUGACGGUACCUGCAAAGGAAGCACCGGCUAACUCCGUGCCAGCAGCCGCGGUACUACGGAGGGUGCGAGCGUUACUCGGAUGUACUGGGCGUAAAGCGCUCGUAGGCGGUAAGUCAAGUCAGGGGUGAAAUCCCCGCGCUCAACGUGGGAACUGCCUUUGAAACUGGGAAACUGGAGUGUGUGAGAGGAUAGUGGAAUUCCAGGUGUAGGGGUGAAAUGCGUAGAUAUCUGGAGGAACAUCAGUGGCGAAGGCGACUAUCUGGCACAUAACUGACGCUGAGGAGCGAAAGCGUGGGUAGCAAACAGGAUUAGAUACCCGAGUAGUC
rnacentral:rRNA from 1 species